rnacentral:rRNA from 1 species
UGGCGGCCAUAGCGAGUUGGAACCACCUGUUCCCAUCCCGAACACAGAAGUGAAACAACCCAGCGCCGAUGGUAGUGUGACUCGAUCAUGUGAGAGUAGG